AUAAGUUCUUUAGUUCACAUAUAUUCAAUUUCGUACAUGAGUAGUGAUCCUCGAGGUAGCGUGGAGGGAAUACGCUUCUAUGGGGGUAAACUGUCAAAUUCCGGGGAACUCCUAAAGCUUAAGGUACCAAGCUGUAUUUGAAAAAUUAUCAGUGGCUGAGGUAAUUGCUCAGGUAUGGUAACAAGCCUUAAGAUAUGUGAAAACAAAAUGGACAAUCGCGGAUCUAAGUCAACAAAACUAAAAGUUAAUGUUGUAAAAGAGCAACGAGUAAACGGCAGUUGAUCAGCUAAGUCUAACUUAACUAAUUUAAGAUGUACUCUAACAGGUUUUGAAAAGAAUCG
rnacentral:ncRNA from 1 species